rnacentral:rRNA from 1 species
AUUGAACGCUGGCGGCAGGCCUAACACAUGCAAGUCGAGCGGAUGAAGGGAGCUUGCUCCUGGAUUCAGCGGCGGACGGGUGAGUAAUGCCUAGGAAUCUGCCUGGUAGUGGGGGAUAGCGUCCGGAAACGGGCGCUAAUACCGCAUACGUCCUGAGGGAGAAAGUGGGGGAUCUUCGGACCUCACGCUAUCAGAUGAGCCUAGGUCGGAUUAGCUAGUUGGUGGGGUAAAGGCCUACCAAGGCGACGAUCCGUAACUGGUCUGAGAGGAUGAUCAGCCACACUGGAACUGAGACACGGUCCAGACUCCUACGGGAGGCAGCAGUGGGGAAUAUUGGACAAUGGGCGAAAGCCUGAUCCAGCCAUGCCGCGUGUGUGAAGAAGGUCUUCGGAUUGUAAAGCACUUUAAGUUGGGAGGAAGGGCAGUAAGUUAAUACCUUGCUGUUUUGACGUUACCAACAGAAUAAGCACCGGCUAACUUCGUG